UUGACCUCGAAUCAGGUAGGAAUACCCGCUGAACUUAAGCAUAUCAAUAAGCGGAGGAAAAGAAACCAACAGGGAUUGCCCCAGUAACGGCGAGUGAAGCGGCAACAGCUCAAAUUUGAAAUCUGGCUCUCGGGCCCGAGUUGUAAUUUGUAGAGGAUGCUUUUGGUGAGGUGCCUUCCGAGUUCCCUGGAACGGGACGCCAUAGAGGGUGAGAGCCCCGUCUGGUUGGACACCGACCCUCUGUAAAGCUCCUUCGACGAGUCGAGUAGUUUGGGAAUGCUGCUCUAAAUGGGAGGUAUAUGUCUUCUAAAGCUAAAUACCGGCCAGAGACCGAUAGCGCACAAGUAGAGUGAUCGAAAGAUGAAAAGAACUUUGAAAAGAGAGUUAAAAAGUACGUGAAAUUGUUGAAAGGGAAGCGCUUGUGACCAGACUUGGGCUUGGUUGAUCAUCCGGGGUUCUCCCCGGUGCACUCUUCCGGCCCAGGCCAGCAUCAGUUCGCCCUGGGGGACAAAGGCUUCGGGAAUGUGGCUCUCUCCGGGGAGUGUUAUAGCCCGCUGCGUAAUACCCUGUGGCGGACUGAGGUUCGCGCAUUCGCAAGGAUGCUGGCGUAAUGGUCAUCAGUGACCCGUCUUG
rnacentral:rRNA from 1 species